CCUACGGGGGGCAGCAGUCGAGAAUCAUUCACAAUGGGGGAAACCCUGAUGGUGCGACGCCGCGUGGGGGAAUGAAGGUCUUCGGAUUGUAAACCCCUGUCAUGUGGGAGCAAAUUAAAAAGAUAGUACCACAUGAGGAAGAGACGGCUAACUCUGUGCCAGCAGCCGCGGUAAUACAGAGGUCUCAAGCGUUGUUCGGAAUCACUGGGCGUAAAGCGUGCGUAGGCUGUUUCGUAAGUCGUGUGUGAAAGGCGCGGGCUCAACCCGCGGACGGCACAUGAUACUGCGAGACUAGAGUAAUGGAGGGGGAACCGGAAUUCUCGGUGUAGCAGUGAAAUGCGUAGAUAUCGAGAGGAACACUCGUGGCGAAGGCGGGUUCCUGGACAUUAACUGACGCUGAGGCACGAAGGCCAGGGGAGCGAAAGGGAUUAGAUACCCGGGUAGUC
rnacentral:rRNA from 1 species